AAUAAAAGACAAAUCAGGGCCAGCAACAGAUGACCUGAGGCAGGGAGGUUCCCUGAUCGGCUGAUUGUUGGCUAAGGACAGUGAGCUAGAUGCAGGAAGAUUGCUCCCGAUGUUG